UACGUAGGGUGCAAGCGUUAAUCGGAAUUACUGGGCGUAAAGCGUGCGCAGGCGGUUUUGUAAGACAGAGGUGAAAUCCCCGGGCUCAACCUGGGAACUGCCUUUGUGACUGCAAGGCUGGAGUACGGCAGAGGGGGGUGGAAUUCCGCGUGUAGCAGUGAAAUGCGUAGAUAUGCGGAGGAACACCGAUGGCGAAGGCAACCCCCUGGGCCUGUACUGACGCUCAUGCACGAAAGCGUGGGGAGCAAACAGG
rnacentral:rRNA from 1 species